GUUCCGGUGGUUUAGUGGUUAGAGCGUCCCCUCGGAUGCGGAUGGUCGCGGGUUCAAAUCACAGCCGAAUCG